GCAGGACAGUGACGAGCCCCGUGAUAGAGUCCUCCCAGGCAGGACACAGGCCACGUCGCCUUCUGGCCGGAGGUGGAUGCACUGCCCUCCCUGCAGACGCGCAGGCACACUCAGAGCACCGGGAAGUGCCCGUUUACUGUACCGCAUGCCGCCUGCCUUGGAGGAACUGUAGCUAACCGCCUGAUUAGUAUUCUCGCCUCCGCAGCAUCAGAGGGCUGAGCGACAUGCAGCUGAACGGGGACAGACACGGCUCUGGCAGUGAUCUCCACGCAGCCUGCCGAACGCCGGGGGUGGGGGAUGCAGCGCAUCAAGAUUAAUAACCUUGCCAGCACCCGGGGCACCCCGCGAGCAGGCACCUCUUGCUGAUUGACCCGCUCCUGGCUUCAUGCAUCCGCCCGGGGGAAGAGGGAUUCGGAAUCUACCUGGUCCUGGGGGGGCCCCCCUGAUUUUUUGGAUGCUCUUUUGAUCCUACGUCGAUCUGGGAAGGUAACAGUGAGCCCAACCAUCUGCAGCGCACAGCAGCUAUUGGAGGUUACUCCUGACAGUUUUCAUUGCACUGGUGCGUGUGUGUGAGUGUGUGUGUGUGUGUGUGUGUGUGUGUGUGUGUGUGUGUGUGUGUGAGUGCGGGGUGCCUGCUUUUGCGUGGAAGGGAAUGUAUGAGUGUCCGCGAGCGAGCGCGUGUAUUUGUGUGACAACUAAAGCAGGUAGAUCGUACAGUAGAUUUCAGCGCGUGAAAAUAUUCUCUGGGCACUUGGGCUGACAGUCUGUAGGCUCCCCCGCCAUCUAGUGCUCACCACCCCCUUUCUUCUCCCUCCACCCCCUUCUUCUUUUUGCCUUUGAUGAGUUUUUGGCUUACUUUUUGGCGGAGUCUCUUGGACAUGUUUUGCUGGAUAAUCAGAUAAAUGGAACCUUUGAAAACUGACUAUUUUUCUCCUCUGUGACUUUAAAAAAGAAGAAGAAAAGAGUAGUGCAAGACGAGCUAGAGGAUUUUAAAUUUUCCUUGGUGAAAUCCGAGGGUGCAGAGGGUGCAGAAAGAAGAAACCAAUGAAGUGUUUACUGUCAUUAUCCCUAUUUGAUGAAGAGGCUACUGAGGCUCACAGAGAAUUAAUACUUUGUCGGAGAUCAUCUAAUGUUAAGUAAUCAAGAGUGAAUGACCUGAAAGCACGCACACCAGCUGGGACCAGCCUGACAUUGAGGGGGAAACUUACAGAGUCAGAGCAAUAGCAGACAUGGUUUUGUCUUGUGAAGCUGCAAGAUUACCCAGGGAGAGCGAGACCACAUGAGCUGGAAACUCUGACUCACUGAAUAUAU